AUCCAACCGACGAGUCCCAAAAAGGAUGAAACACGCAUCCUGGAU
rnacentral:hammerhead_ribozyme from 1 species